CGUCCAAGGACAUGUCUUGACGCUGUUUUGGGAGGCUCCGAGCUGUAUGCACAGGCACAGCCGUAGCUCUGCACAACAAAUAGUAAAACAAUUCCCAUCUGUUUCUUGUGGGCCUUCCGGAAUUUUCGCACUCGUUUGAGAAUUUCUCUUGCAGACUUCAAUGACUAUACGACAACGUUUUGUGAGUGUUUGUUCGUCAUUUUGAAGGUGAAAAUGGGGAUCGUGGAUGAUCGACAUUUGCAGCAUUAUCGUCUGAGGAAAGGCUGGUGUUAUUUAUAAUUCAUUUGGUGCUUCCAUAGUAAUCAAAUGUU